rnacentral:lncRNA from 1 species
CAGAAGUGAGGGCUGGAGAGAGAACCUGAUUAGGACUGAUGCUCACCGGCUUCUGCUUCCAGGAGCUCUUAAAGCUCACAUAUGGUUUACUCGUGAAAAGCAAGAGCCAGGGCUCCCAUGCAAGCCCUUCUAGAAGAAACUAACACCAUUGAUACUGCUUCUGAAAUCUUGACAUUCGAGUAUCUCAGUGCUCUCUGUAUAUUUUUAUGGUUGUGUAAAAAACCGUCUUAUGGAUGAACACAAAGCGUCGUUGCCUUUCUGGUUCAAUCUUCCUUCUCCCUUUUUACUGAAAGCUGGUAAACACCACUUUCACCAAAACUGGUGAGUCACGGUUCCUGUAGUCAGCUCGUGCUGCUCCUCAGCACCAUCAUGCUGUUCCACGUCUGCGUAGUGACUCCCUUACUCCUUGGUAGCUCUUUCCUCUGUAUCACAGAUCCAUUGUCACUCGCUCAAAUACAGCCUCCCUGACUGCAGGCCAGAUCUGGUUCGAUGGCCAUGUAGACUAAUCUGCCAGCAAUUGUCACCCACCUUUGGGUUUUUGAAAUGUCUGAUCCUCCUAACUAGAUCACAAACCUUCCCAGGAGAGGGAUCACCCUGUGUGACCAGCACCUGCCCAGACUGGUAUGGAAGAACAUGUUGUUGAAUAAGUAAAGGAAAAACAUUGUUAUGUGAAGUAGCCUCAUGCGCCUGGGCCCUCUCUGAAGUCCAGCUCCUUUGCUAGCAACUUCAACCUUUCUCUUCAUUUAAAUUUGAUCCUUCCUCCCAUUGCCUGACCUCAGCUCCCCAGCUGACUCCAAGCCACUAGAUAAGCCCAGCCCAUCCUCCUCUUUCCACUCCCACAGGCUUAGUCAUGUUUCCUGCCAAAGAGAUGACCACAGG